UACGGAGGGUGCGAGCGUUGUCCGGAAUCACUGGGCGUAAAGGGCGCGUAGGCGCCCUGGCAGUCGGUGGUGAAAGCCCGUGGCUCAACUGCGGGUCGGCCACCGAUACUCCAGGGCUCGAGUUUUGGUAGAGGCAGAUGGGAAUUCCUGGUGUAGCGGUGAAAUGCGCAGAUAUCAAGGAGGACACCAGCGGCAAGGCGGCGCUCUGGGGCCGGUACUGACCACUGAGGAGCGAAAGCGUGGGGAGCAAACAGG
rnacentral:rRNA from 1 species